GAUUCCCCUAGUAACUGAGAGUGAAGCGGGAAAAGCUCAAAUUUAAAAUCUGGCAGCUUUUGUUGCCCGAGUUGUAGUCUAGAGAAGCGUCUUCCGCGUUGGNCCGUGUAUAAGUCUCUUGGAACAGAGCGUCAUAGAGGGUGAGAAUCCCGUCUUUAACACGGACUACCAGUGCUUUGUGAUGCGCUCUCAAAGAGUCGAGUUGUUUGGGAAUGCAGCUCAAAAUGGGUGGUAAAUUCCAUCUAAAGCUAAAUAUUGGCGAGAGCCCGAUAGCGAACAAGUACCGUGAGGGAAAGAUGAAAAGCACUUUGGAAAGAGAGUUAAACAGUACGUGAAAUUGCUGAAAGGGAAACGCUUGAAGUCAGUCGCGUUAGCUAGAACUCAACCAGGCUUNNNNNGCUUGGUGCAUUNUCUAGUUUAACGGGCCAGCAUCAGUUUUGGCUGCAGGAUAAAGGUCAGAGAAAUGUGGCAGCUUUGGCUGUGUUAUAGUCUCUGGCUGCAUACUGUGUCNGGGACUGAGGAUCUCAGCACGCAUUUGA
rnacentral:rRNA from 1 species